GAAAAGUCAAUAUUUUGAAUGGUAUUGAAACUUUUUUGGAGAUCAUCUAUAGAGUUCUUAAGAAGCAUUAUUGGCAAACCCUAUGGUAGAGUGUAGAAGAGUUUUAUGAGAAUUGCCGUCAGACUAUCCUGCAGCACCAGAAACCUAUAUAAUGUCAGAUGCAAACAUGUUGUAAAAUACACAUCCAUCCAACAACCAAUUCAUUACACCUCCACCAACUUACUUUGACCAAAGCUUUAACCCAUCCACAACUACAACCAAACUUACCAAUCACCACCGCAACCCAAGAGCUAAUUCUUACAAAAUUCUCCAAUUCCAUAUCCAAGCUACUCUCUACAUAGUCAUCAUAAAGAAAGCUCUCAAACAUCAAACUAUUCAUUUGACAACUUCAAUUCAAAUCAGAUCACCCCACAAACUAGUUACCCAGACCAAUUACAAUACUCCUUGUUCAACCUAUCAACCCCUCCAAACAAACUACGCACCCCAAUGGCCGCAUCCAAAAACUAAUAACAUAGAAAGUAAGGAGGUGGAAGAGGAAGUGCAAGAGGAAAUGCAA
rnacentral:lncRNA from 1 species